AAAUCCGGUUGAUCCUGCCGGAGGCUACCGCUAUUGGAGUUCGAUUAAGCCAUGCGAGUCUAGAGGCCUAGCCUCGGCGUACCGCUCAGUAACACGUGGGUAACCUACCCUAUGCUGGGGGAUAAGCUCGGGAAACUGAGAAUAAUACCCCAUAGUCCACUACGCCUGGAACGGUGAGUGGAUCAAAGCUCCGGCGGCAUAGGAUGGGCCUGCGGCGUAUCAGGUUGUAGGGGGUGUAACGUACCCUCUAGCCAUCCACGCGUACGGGUGUUGGGAGACAUUGCCCGGAGAUGGAUUCUGAGACACGAAUCCAGACCCUACGGGGUGCAGCAGGCGCGAAAACUUGGCAAUGCGAG
rnacentral:rRNA from 1 species